UCAAGUUAUGAAGGGCGCAGGGUGGAUGCCAUGGCACUGGACGCCGAAGAAAGACGUGGUAAGCUGCGAAAAGCCACGGGGAGCCGCAAGCAGGCUUUGAUCCGUGGAUGUCUGAAUGGGGAAACCCGGCGGAAGUAAUGUUCCGUCAUCCGUGAAUGAAUCCAUAGUUCACGAGAAGGGCACCCGGGGAACUGAAACAUCUAAGUACCCGGAGGAAAAGAAAGAAAACUCGAUUUCGUCAGUAGCGGCGAGCGAAAGCGAAAGAGCCCAAACCAUCCGACUACGGUUGGGUGGGGUUGUGGGUCAGCAACAUGUACGACAAAAUCUAGGAGAAGAGUUCUGGAAAGGACUUCCAAAGAGGGUAAGAGGCCCGUAUCCGAAAAGCAAAAUCGGCUAGCUGAUACCAGAGUACCACAGGACACGAGGAAUCCGGUGGGAAGCAGGAGGGACCACCCUCCAAGGCUAAAUACGAUCCAGUGACCGAUAGCGCAUAGUACCGUGAGGGAAAGGUGAAAAGAACCCCGGGAGGGGAGUGAAAAAGAACCUGAAACCCUGUGCUUACAAGCAGAGAGAGCACAAUUAAGUGUGAUCUCGUACUUUUUGUAGAACGGACCGGCGAGUUACGUUAUGCAGCGAGGUUAAGAACUGAAGGUUUGGAGCCGAAGCGAAAGCGAGUCUGAAAAGGGCGAAGAGUUGCAUGACGUAGACCCGAAACCGGGUGACCUAUCCAUGGGCAGGUUGAAGUGGAAGUAAAAUUUCAUGGAGGACCGAACCAGACGUCUGUUGAAAAAGGCGGGGAUGACCUGUGGAUAGCGGAGAAAUUCCAAUCGAACCCGGAGAUAGCUGGUUCUCCUCGAAAUAGCUUUAGGGCUAGCCUCGCAUUAGUUUACCGGAGGUAGAGCACUGAAUGGUCUAGGGGGCCUCACCGCCUACCGAAACCUAUCAAACUGCGAAUGCCGGAUAAAUGAUGUGCGGGAGUCAGGCCGCGAGAGAUAAGUUCCGCGGUCAAAAGGGGAACACCCCAGAUCGUCUGCUAAGGUCCCCAAGUACGCGUUAAGUGGGAAAGGAUGUUGGAUUGCACAGACAACCAGGAUGUUGGCUUAGAAGCAGCCACACAUUCAAAGAGUGCGUAAUAGCUCACUGGUCGAGUGAUCCAGCGCCGAAAAUGUAACGGGGCUAAAACGCGACACCGAAGCAGCGGGAUGCGUAAGCAUCGGUAGAGGAGCAUUGUGUGAGGGUUGAAGCCAGAGCGGGAGCACUGGUGGACUUCACAGAAGAGAGAAUGCCGGUAUGAGUAGCGAGACCCAUGCGAGAAACAUGGGCGUCGAAGGCCCAAGGUUUCCUGGGGAAGGUUCAUCCACCCAGGGUAAGUCGGGACCUAAGCCGAGGACUGAGGUCGUAGGCGAUGGACAGCAGGUAGAGAUUCCUGCACCACUUACACUUGUUUGACGAAGCAGUGACACAGAAGGAUAGGACGAGCGCGGUGAUGGUCAACCGCGUAGGCAGCACGAGGCUGGGGAGCAGUUAAGUACACUUCCCAUGAAGGCUGAGUGCUGACAGGACCGAAAAAGAGUAGGGAAGCGUCUGAGUUCACGCUGGCGAGAAAAGCUGCUAAGGAGAGUGUGAGUGCCCGUACCGGAAACCGACGCAGGUGGGCGAGGAGAGAAUCCUGAGACGGACGGGAGAACCCUUGUUAAGGAACUCGGCAAAAUGACCCCGUAACUUCGGGAGAAGGGGUGCCUCGAAAGAGGCCGCAGAGAAUAGUCACAAGCGACUGUUUAGCAAAAACACAGGUAUCUGCGAAAGCGAGAGCUGACGUAUAGGUGCUGACGCCUGCCCGGUGCUGGAAGGUUAAGGGGAAGUGUUAGGGGAAACCCGAAGCAGAGAACCGAAGCCCCAGUAAACGGCGGCCGUAACUAUAACGGUCCUAAGGUAGCGAAAUUCCUUGUCGGGUAAGUUCCGACCCGCACGAAUGGCGUAACGACUUGUGAGCUGUCUCAACAGGAGGCCCGGUGAAAUUGAAGUAUGUGUGAAGAUGCACAUUACCCGCGACUGGACGGAAAGACCCCGUAGAGCUUUACUGUAACCUGACAUUGGAUCUUGAUAACGGAUGCACAGGAUAGGUGGGACGCUGGGAGGUAUGGACUUUGGUCUGUACGGAGCGGACGUUGGGAUACCACUCUUCUGUUAUUGAGAUUCUAACCUCA
rnacentral:rRNA from 1 species